rnacentral:rRNA from 1 species
UGGAUCCAGACUUGAUUAUGGCUCAGGAUGAACGCUAGCUACAGGCUUAACACAUGCAAGUCGAGGGGCAGCAUGACGAUAGCUUGCUAUUGUCGAUGGCGACCGGCGCACGGGUGAGUAACGCGUAUCCAACCUUCCCGUUGCUAGGGGAUAACCUUGCGAAAGUAAGACUAAUACCCUAUGAUGUUCUUCGCAGACAUCUAAAGAGAACCAAAGAUUUAUCGGCAACGGAUGGGGAUGCGUCUGAUUAGGUUGUUGGCGGGGUAACGGCCCACCAAGCCUACGAUCAGUAGGGGUUCUGAGAGGAAGGUCCCCCACAUUGGAACUGAGACACGGUCCAAACUCCUACGGGAGGCAGCAGUGAGGAAUAUUGGCCAAUG